GCUGGAGCUUCCCCUCCAGCAGCGCCAGCAGCUAACAUUGCCAGUGCCAUAGCAGCAGGUGGAGAUGCAAAAGCAGCAGCCCAGCUAGGGGAUAUCAUAGACAGAGCAGCCUCAAGGGGCAAAGCAUCUGCAGCCAAUGAUCGGUCAUCAACAACAAAAGGAUUUAAACCAUCUGCAGUUGCCAGUUCAUGAAUUCCUGCCAAGAGGGGUCGCCACCUCCUUAAGGCUGCAAUAAAAGGUGGUAAAAUAACCUCUAGGUAUUGCUUCCUUAGAGGAGUUCGAU
rnacentral:misc_RNA from 1 species